GAUGAACGCUGGCGGCGUGCCUAAUACAUGCAAGUCGAGCGAACAGACGAGGAGCUUGCUCCUCUGACGUUAGCGGCGGACGGGUGAGUAACACGUGGAUAACCUACCUAUAAGACUGGGAUAACUUCGGGAAACCGGAGCUAAUACCGGAUAUUAUAUUGAACCGCAUGGUUCAAUAGUGAAAGACGGUUUUGCUGUCACUUAUAGAUGGAUCCGCGCCGCAUUAGCUAGUUGGUAAGGUAACGGCUUACCAAGGCAACGAUGCGUAGCCGACCUGAGAGGGUGAUCGGCCACACUGGAACUGAGACACGGUCCAGACUCCUACGGGAGGCAGCAGUAGGGAAUCUUCCGCAAUGGGCGAAAGCCUGGCGGAGCAACGCCGCGUGAGUGAUGAAGGUCUUCGGAUCGUAAAACUCUGUUAUUAGGGAAGAACAAAUGUGUAAGUAACUAUGCACGUCUUGACGGUACCUAAUCAGAAAGCCACGGCUAACUACGUG
rnacentral:rRNA from 1 species